GCGCGUAUUGGUUUGAGGAAGUCACGCGACCAAUACACUUAUCGUAUCUGUCAUUAGACAUGUGUCUCUGGAGCGCCAAACUGUUUAUAAAGAAGCGCAUACGUCAACGGGAUGCAUCCACCAAAAGCUAUUUCUGAUCAUUUACCAACAAGUGACAAAUUCCUUAGGAAUUAUGGAGCCGCCUCCAGCAAAAAGAACGGUCACGCCGAGUGGCAUCAUUUUUUCCUUUUGUCGGAAAAUAAGGUGUUUCAUUUAAAUUCCUUGUUGUUUCAUCCUGUUCCUCUCAGGGUUUCCACUUGAUCUUUCCGAAUUUAAAUUAUUUUAGCUAAUAAUAAUAUUUUCUGCAGGUUAGAUGUCGCAUUUGUUCAACAAAAACUGUCUUUUAUAAAUAAGUCCACCUCCUCAAUGCUGAGGCAUUAUAAGGCAAGGCAUGAAAAUGAAGUCCCUGAUACGCCCAGGAUAAACUCAGCGUCCAGGAAGCUCAGUUUCAUCCUGAAGGACUGCUUCCCCUCAGCAUUGUGGAGAGUGAAGGCUUCAGGGAACUUGUUCAGGUCUUUCAACCCACAUAUGUUUUGCCAACCAGAAAGACCAUCAAACAAAUGGUGGCCAAAAAGUAUGAGGAGGAAAAGGAACGAGUGAAAAUGGAAGUACAGCAAGCUGUGGCAAUCAAGCACUACAGCCAAGGAGAAGCUUGCUCAAGUGCAGCAACAGAUGGGACGACCAACCCUGAAAGUCAUCAAUGAGGUGCCAACACGCUGCAACAGCACAUAUGAAAUGCUGUCAAGGCUUCAUGAUGAGCGAGAACCAGUGUGGGUCUCUGGCCUCUCUAAAAACAGCUUUGACUCCACUUACAGCUGAUGAGUAUACUGUACCAUCAUAGGAGAAACACUUCUUCAAGCUACAGUGGAGUUGUCUGAAGAGAGGCGAGUCUCAGGGUCAAAGGUCAUCCCGAUGAUGAAAAUGCUCUAUUUUGCACUAGAGCGCAAUGCUUUGACCGUGCACACACAGGCAGCCAUCCACCUACAUGAACACCUGUGUGAUGACCCCAGCAACACUUCUAGACCCCAGAUUUAAAUCACUCGGGUUCCUCAAAGUGCAAUGAGGUCGUCACUAGACUGCAGUCAGAAUGUGCGUCUGUUAUCGGACGCACAAAUGAGCCUGAACCAGCACCGCCUUCACAGCAGCUGUCUGCA